rnacentral:rRNA from 1 species
AGAGUUUGAUCAUGGCUCAGAACGAACGCUGGCGGCAGGCUUAACACAUGCAAGUCGAACGCGACCUUCGGGUCGAGUGGCGCACGGGUGAGUAACGCGUGGGAACCUGUCCUGUGGUACGGAAUAACACCGGGAAACUGGUGCUAAUACCGUAUAUCCCCUGAGGGGGAAAGAUUUAUCGCCAUAGGAGGGGCCCGCGU